UUCCCUGGAUGCUGGCUUCAGGUUGAA
rnacentral:piRNA from 1 species